rnacentral:rRNA from 1 species
CCUACGGGGGUCAGCAGUAGGGAAUCUUUCACAAUGGGCGAAAGCCUGAUGGAGCAACGCCGCGUGCAGGAUGAAGGCCUUCGGGUUGUAAACUGCUUUUAUAAGCGAGAAAUAUGAUGGUAACUUAUGAAUAAGGAUCGGCUAACUACGUGCCAGCAGCCGCGGUCAUACGUAGGAUCCGAGCAUUAUCCGGAGUGACUGGGUGUAAAGAGUUGCGUAGGUGGCAUAAUAAGUAGCUAGUGAAAUCUGGUGGCUCAACCAUUCAGACUAUUAGCUAAACUGUGAAGCUCGAGACCGUUAGGGGUAACUGGAAUGUCUAGUGUAGGAGUGAAAUCCGUAGAUAUUAGAAGGAACACCAAUAGCGUAGGCAGGUUGCUGGGACGGUUCUGACACUAAGGCACGAAAGCGUAGGGAGCAAACGGGAUUAGAUACCCCGGUAGUC